UGGGGAAUAUUGCACAAUGGGCGAAAGCCUGAUGCAGCAACGCCGCGUGAGUGAUGAAGGCCUUCGGGUUGUAAAGCUCUGUCUUUUGGGACGAUAAUGACGGUACCAAAGGAGGAAGCCACGGCUAACUACGUGCCAGCAGCCGCGGUAAUACGUAGGUGGCAAGCGUUGUCCGGAUUUACUGGGCGUAAAGGAUGCGUAGGCGGAUUUUAAGUGAGAUGUGAAAUACCCGGGCUUAACUUGGGUGCUGCAUUUCAAACUGGGAAUCUAGAGUGCGGGAGAGGAGAAUGGAAUUCCUAGUGUAGCGGUGAAAUGCGUAGAGAUUAGGAAGAACACCAGUGGCGAAGGCGAUUCUCUGGACCGUAACUGACGCUGAGGCAUGAAAGCGUGGGUAGCAAACAGGAUUAGAUACCCUGGUAGUCCACGCCGUAAACGAUGAGUACUAGGUGUAGGAGGUAUCGACCCCUUCUGUGCCGCAGUUAACACAAUAAGUACUCCGCCUGGGAAGUACGAUCGCAAGAUUAAAACUCAAAGGAAUUGAC
rnacentral:rRNA from 1 species